rnacentral:misc_RNA from 1 species
AAAGUCGUAACAAGGUAACCGUAGGUGAACCUGCGGUUGGAUCAUUACCAAAGAAAAACAAAAAAGAAAAACAAAAAGUGAGGGUAAUAUUAUAUCCUCAUUUUUUUUCUUCUUUUUUUUCCAACCUUUUGUGAACUAUAUUUAAACGUUUAUUUGGCGGUUCAGCGAAACUGUAAUAAGCCGCCUCUGGGUGGGCUGCCAAAUGUAUGAAAACCUUAUAUUUAAUAUAUCCAAUCGUUUUGAUUUUUUUAAAGCUGGAUUUUUCGGAAUCCAGGUAAUAAAAGAAAAUUUAAAAACAACUUUUGACAACGGAUCUCUUGGCUCUC